rnacentral:lncRNA from 1 species
CCGCAAAAAUUUGUACAUAAAAUUUUCAAUCACAUAUUUCAUACUUUCAUCAAAAUCUGCUAAACUUUUAUCAAAAAUUUUGGUCAAACAACACCUACAUAUUCAUCAAGUCCAAAUGAUAUAUUUUUCUUACUAAAAUGACAAUAUUGAAUGACAAGGACAAUGAAGGAAUUCCCAUAUGACUCGUCAGCAGCAUAAAAUUGAUCUAGGCAAAGAUAGAAUUGUCAGGCAUAACAGUAGAUCCUACAAGGUGUAAACAGCUAAAAAAAACUGAAAUGCAACAAGCAGAUAUCCUCACGCUGUCUACCUCACUUCCUCCCCUUCUGCAGAAACUAGGUUAAAUCUUGACUGACCAACAAGAAUAUUGAUCAAACGAUUCAAACUUGUUCAAAAUUCUUUGAAAUACACGAAUCUAACAUCAGGUUGUCUGGAAAUCACAUUGUGACAGUUCUCAAUUCCAAGCUGGGAUGCUCCCAUUUCCUCAAGGAAAAAAAAAAGAAAAAAAGACUAAAGACCUCUGCAGUAUAAACUUCCCUAAAAAUGAAGGAAAGAAUGAAAAGAAAAUUUCCAGAAAAGUUAUCAAACCUUUAUCAGUCGGUCCAGAAGAGCAUUAAGACAGUUCCAUCCUCCUUCCUUUUAGACAAAUCUGGCUGAUUUACCCGCUAGUAUGAGUUUGGAAUAGUAAACAGAUAUGCAUGGAAAAAUUCAAUUUUGUGUCCUCUAUUGUUUCAGAGUUCAGAGUUCACCGAGUGGAUCAAGUAUAAAUUUGCACAUGAAGGCUUCUGAAGUUGACAAUCACGGUUUUCAAAGGAACAAAAACAGCUUAACCCAAAUUAAAAGGGCGAAGGUUUUAAACAAGGAAACAUAAUAUAAUUUUUGGGUCGACCGAAAAUUAGAGUUAGC